UUUCAGUAGAGCCUUUUAAGACACAUGUUUUGGAAUACAGUCAAAUGCGUGCUGCUGUAUGACCAGCCUAUCUGAACUACUUAAGCAUCAACUAAUUAAUCUGCAAGUGAAGAAUACUUCCAGCAUUACUCUAUAAUUAGACAAUCUCAGGAGGAAACAAGAGGAUUUCAAAGGGGAGUCAGAUGGUUUUGCAGACCGCUACAUCAUUUAUUUUUUCAUCACUCAGAUUAUGCCUCCAAAUCCUACAGAAGUAUAACAACCAUAGAACAGACAAACAC
rnacentral:lncRNA from 1 species